rnacentral:rRNA from 1 species
UGGGGAAUAUUGCACAAUGGGCGCAAGCCUGAUGCAGCGACGCCGCGUGGGGGAUGACGGCCUUCGGGUUGUAAACCUCUUUCAGUAGGGACGAAGCGCAAGUGACGGUACCUACAGAAGAAGCACCGGCCAACUACGUGCCAGCAGCCGCGGUAAUACGUAGGGUGCGAGCGUCGUCCGGAAUUACUGGGCGUAAAGAGCUCGUAGGUGGUUUGUCGCGUUGUCCGUGAAAUCUCACAACUCAAUUGUG